GGCAAAGGAUGUGCGUCCGCCCAGACAACCAGGAUGUUGGCUUAGAAGCAGCCAUCCAUUCAAAGAGUGCGUAACAGCUCACUGGUCGAGUGGACAUGCGCCGACAAUACACGGGGCUAAGCUGGACACCGAAGCGGCGGGAUUUUAAUUCAUUAGAAUCGGUAGGGGAGCUUCCCAUGGGCGGAGAAGCCGGAGGGCGACCGACGGUGGAGCGCAUGGGAGUGAGAAUGCUGGCAUGAGUAGCGAGAGACGAGAGAGUAACUCGUCCGCCGUGAACCCGAGGUUUCCUGGGCAAGGCUAAUCCUCCCAGGGUCAGUCGGGGGCUAAGGCGAGGCCGGGAGGCGUAGCCGACGCGCAGCAGGCAGACAUUCCUGCACCGCGCACGCGGCGCUACGACCGACGGGGCGACGGAUGGGGGUGGCUCGGCGGGGUUCUGGACGUCCCCGUGAUGGAGCGCGGCCCGCGGACCAGGGAAAUCCGGUCCGCACACAGGGCGAGGCUCCGGACGAAGCGACUGAGCGAAGCGAGUGAGCCCGAGGUCCCUAGAAAAACCCCUAGGCAGGCGCGUGCGCGCCCGUACCGCAAACCGACACAGGUGGGUGGGUAGAACAUACCGAGGCGAUCGGGUCAACCAUGGUCAAGGAACUCGGCACAAUGGCCCCGUAACUUCGGGAGAAGGGGUGCCCGCGCGUACGUGAACCGGCUUGCCCGGGGAGCGGAGGCGGGCCGCAGUGGAGAGGCCCAAGCGACUGUUUACCAAAAACACAGGACUCUGCAGAAGCCGCAAGGCGACGUAUAGGGUCUGACGCCUGCCCGGUGCCGGAAGGUCACGCGGAGGAGUUAGCGCAUCGCGCGAAGCCCCGAAGCCAAGCCCCGGUAAACGGCGGCCGUAACUAUAACGGUCCUAAGGUAGCGAAAUUCCUUGUCGGGUAAGUUCCGACCUGCACGAAAGGCGCAACGACUUGGGCGCUGUCUCGACCAUGGACCCGGUGAAAUUGCACUGGUCGUGAAGAUGCGACUUACCCGCGGAAGGACGGAAAGACCCCGUGAACCUUCACUGCAGCUUGGCAUUGGCCGCUGGUCCCGCGUGUAGAGGAUAGGCAGGAGGCAUCGAUCCGGAGGCGCCAGCCCCCGGGGAGCCGCCCUUGGAAUACUGCCCUCGCGCGACCGGCGUCCUAACCCGAGGCCGUCAACCGGCUCGGGGACCGUGCCAGGCGGGCAGUUUGACUGGGGCGGUCGCCUCCUAAAGGGUAACGGAGGCGCGCGAAGGUCCGCUCGGGACGGUCGGCAACCGUCCUUUUGAAUGCAAGAGUACAAGCGGGCUUGACUGCGAGGCCCACAAGCCGAGCAGGUGCGAAAGCAGGCUCUAGUGAUCCGGCGGCCCCGAGUGGGUGGGCCGUCGCUCAACGGAUAAAAGGUACUCCGGGGAUAACAGGCUGAUCUUGCCCAAGAGUCCACAUCGACGGCAAGGUUUGGCACCUCGAUGUCGGCUCAUCGCAUCCUGGGGCUGGAGCAGGUCCCAAGGGUACGGCUGUUCGCCGUUUAAAGCGGUACGCGAGCUGGGUUCAGAACGUCGUGAGACAGUUCGGUCCCUAUCCUCCGUGGGCGCAGGAGAAUCGAUGGAGGCUGCCCCCAGUACGAGAGGACCGGGGUGGACGCACCUCCGGUGAACCGGUUGUCGACCAACGGCACGGCCGGGUAGCCGCGUGCGGCGCGGAUAACCGCUGAAGGCAUCUAAGCGGGAAGCCGUUCCAGGGAUUAGUUCUCCUUCCGGUAAGGGCCCAGGUAGACUACCUGGUCGAUAGACGGCAGGUGCAAGGGCGGCGACGUCCUCAGCCGAGCCGCACUAAUCGCCCGAGCUCUUCCGGAA
rnacentral:rRNA from 1 species